GAUGAACGCUGGCGGCGUGCCUAAUACAUGCAAGUCGAGCGAACAGACGAGGAGCUUGCUCCUUUGACGUUAGCGGCGGACGGGUGAGUAACACGUAGGUAACCUACCUAUAAGACUGGGAUAACUUCGGGAAACCGGAGCUAAUACCGGAUAAUAUUUCGAACCGCAUGGUUCGAUAGUGAAAGAUGGCUUUGCUAUCACUUAUAGAUGGACCUGCGCCGUAUUAGCUAGUUGGUAAGGUAACGGCUUACCAAGGCAACGAUACGUAGCCGACCUGAGAGGGUGAUCCGCCCCACUUGAACUGAGACACGGUCCAGACUCCUACGGGAGGCAGCAGUAGGGAAUCUUCCGCAAUGGGCGAAAGCCUGACGGAGCAACGCCGCGUGAGUGAUGAAGGUCUUCGGAUCGUAAAACUCUGUUAUUAGGGAAGAACAAACGUGUAAGUAACUGUGCACGUCUUGACGGUACCUAAUCAGAAAGCCACGGCUAACUACGUG
rnacentral:rRNA from 1 species